UCUUUUCUCAAAUUCACCCUAGUUUUGCACAGCAUGUGGUAUGAUUGCCGGCCUGGUGUCAGGUUACAAAGGACGUUAGGUACUAGUGAUUAGUAUUUUUAGUUUCUAUAGGUCAUAAGCUUUCUACUGAUAUAUAGUUUGUCAUAACUCUGGUGAAUAUCUUUAAAAUUACAGCCAUUUCAAAAAUGGCCAUCAAUCCAUGUGUACCCCCCCCCCCCUUAAUUGCUCCAACAUUCAC